rnacentral:lncRNA from 1 species
GUCAUUAUGUACAUUCCUUGCUAGACCACGGAGCAAAAACACAUUUACCCAGCUAAGCCCUUUCAAAACCUUCUGGAGCAAGGGCAGAUGGAGACACGAACAGAAAUAUGACAAUCACUCUUGCUUGCUAAACAUAACCUAGAUAAUCUGCGUUACAAGCAGCUAUUAUACCCUCGUACUGCAUUAAAGAAAAGUUACCACUUGGAAAUGCAGACACGUGAUGAACAAGAAUUUAACCGAAAGAAC